AACGUAGGAGACAAACGUUAUCCGGAGUUACUGGGCGUAAAGGGCGUGUAGGUGGUAUCGUAAGUCUGGCGUGAAAUUUCUCGGCUUAACCGAGGCAGGUCGUCGGAUACUGCGAGGCUAGAGGACGGUAGAGGCGUGUGGAAUUCCGGGUGUAGUGGUGAAAUGCGUAGAGAUCCGGAGGAACACCAGUGGCGAAGGCGACACGCUGGGCCGUACUCGACACUGAUGCGCGACAGCAUGGGGAGCAACAGG
rnacentral:rRNA from 1 species